CCUCCAAAUAAAUUUUGACAGAAUUUCAGGUGGUCAGGCCCAGGGCAGAGCAAUGUGUAAACAGAGCUGGGAGGAGGGUCUCAGAGCCAGUGAGCUGAGGGGUGCCUUGAUAGAUACCCAAACUGAACUCACAUAACAGGAUGAGAAUAUUUCCUUUCUUAGCUAGUGUUGCCUGUUAUGAAUUCCCUUCAGCUCGGAAGAGAGCAACAUGUACUGCCUUGUGGCUUCCUGUGUAGAAAGGGCAGGAAUGAGGAAGUCCAGGAACACAGUCCUGGGAAGCUGCUCUAGAGGCCCAGCCAAGUCUCCAAGUGCAGAAAAGCACAUAGCACGAAAUUCCCAUCCCUCGCCUCUACAGGAAAAGCUGCCAGCUCCCCGACCCGCACCCCUUGCAAAGGAACUAAACCCACAUCUGGCUGGGAAGCUGGAGAAGCUGAAGAGGAAUCCAGGGAAAGGUAGAACUGUCAUAGGUUUGCCUGUUGCCCUACAACCGAUAAGGUGAACCACCAGGCACACAGAACUGCAUUCGUCUCCAGGCUCAGCUUCCGCACCCGUCCGAGCAGCUCUGCCAUCCCAGUCCCUCCCUCCGAAGUGGGCGCCUUGGUGUCAUUUCAAGUAGAUUUGCUUGGAACUAACCUUCCAAAGUUAAUGUUUAAUUUUAAAAACUGCACUUUUAAAAAUUUCCAUUUUGGUAAGCAGACCAGAUGCUUUGCCAAAUUUACCCUCAGCUAAUUGCAUAGUUCAAUGUCCUGAAAUGUGCCCUUGUUUGCUUAAAACCUGCUGAUCUGCAAAAGAAAUUGUUCCAGGAAUGUGGGUCAGAGUGGCCGCUCCUGUGGAAGCUGAAUGGACCAAGAACGAGCCAUGCAGGCCUGGCUGAGCACCGGCUGCUUAUAAAUCUGCAGGAAUAGAGGACUCUCCAGGGCAGGAUUUUCACUCUAUUGAUAAGGCCGCUGGAGGUGGGGGAGAGCUAGAGCCUGGAGACAUGGGCGAAAAUCAGUUUGGCUCAGAUUCACCUUUGGAACCCCUUUAAGCCUUUCAUCUCGAGCAGGCUUUGGGUCAAGAUUGAAGUAAAAUGUUAAUGCACAGCUGGAGGAAAAUAAUUUUGAAAUCUGGCAUUUACUCAGCCUCUGUCCCUGGAGGCCCUCUGACGAGAUGCAUGUGAAGUAGGAACGAUAUUCUAGCAAGAACAGAAUAAAGUCGAAGCUGCUUGGUUAUUCUUUCUCGCAUGUGAGUCUGGAACCUGAGGUCAGAGGUGCUCCUUUACGUGGCCACAGGCUGAUAUCCUUGGUCAGUUCCAGCCCCCGCCACCAGGGGAGUGAGCUGAGAGCAGCCUGGAAAGGGUACAAGGGAACCCAGAGGUGCUCCAGCAGUGAGGGGGAUGCAAGGUCUGCCCACCUCCGUGACAGUGUGGGAAGUUCCUAUUGAACACGUGGGGCAGUGGUGUCUCUGUCAUUUUCAGCACUGGCCUCUAUUCUGGGCACGGGGGUUGGGAGUGGGGGUGAAGAGGGGUGGCAGAGAAAGCUGUAGUCUGAGCCAGACUGCUCUGGCUGGCUUGCUGGCUCCUGCCAACCCGCCAUCGGCCCAUCUUCCUCCUGUCCUUCUCUCGCUUUGCUGAUCUUCAAGGCAGAUACUCGGGAAGCUGCUCACUGUAUUUCACUCAGCUCUCCUCAGUACAGCUGUAAUCCUUUCUGGAGCUCUGGGGAGGAAAUUGCUUUCUCGCUGUUUGCAGCUUCUACAGUUGCCACACUACUUGUGUUGUGGCCUCUUCCAUCUUCAAAGCCAGCCAUCGCUGGUCAGGUCUUCAUCUCACCACUCUUCAGCCUCUCUCUUCCUCUUUUAAGGCUCCUUGUGAUUACCCUAGGUCUGCCUGGAUGACCAGUAUACUCUCCUUUCAAAGUUAGCUGCCUGGCAAACUUAUUUCCAUCUGCAGAUUUCAUUCCUGUUUGCCGUGCAAUUUAACAUAGUCACAGGGCCUGGGGAUCAGGAUGUGGACAUCUACGGGGAUCAUUAUUCUGCCCACCCUGAUGAUAAAUCCUCAUCUUUUUCAAAGCCUUUUUACAGAGCUCAUUUGACCUUAAAAAUGUCUAUGAGAUAGGUGAGCAGGUAGUAUGUCUCCUUUAAUGUAGCAGGAAGCUAAGCUAGGAGUCAAAAAACAAAACAAAAACAAACCUCGCACAGGUACUACUCUGUAUAUUGGAAAUCAAUGAAGGGAUGAAGUCAAAACACAAGCCAUAGGAUUCAGUUUAUUUCAAGAUAUUUCCUCUAGAUGACAGUUAAAGAGGAGUGGCAUGGGGGAAGUAUGGGCUGGUGUCAGUUGUCAGCCUGGGUCUAGGUUUUGUGCUCACACAAACUUGGUCUGGCCAUGUUGUUCCCUUUUCUGAGUCUGACUCGUUUUUUUGCCUUCCAGAGAGGCUUUGAAAGUGACCAAGAUGACAGUCUUAAGAUAGGAGCUAUAGUGGAAGGGUAUGAUCUAAAUGCAAAGUUACUUGUAUUUAUUAAAAUCAAUUCCACAGCCAGGCAUGGUGGCAUACACCUGUA